rnacentral:ncRNA from 1 species
UAACCUCUGGCGACAAUCGUGAAUGUUG